AUUGAACGCUGGCGGCAGGCCUAACACAUGCAAGUCGAACGAGUGGCGGACGGGUGAGUAAUGUCUGGGAAACUGCCCGAUGGAGGGGGAUAACUACUGGAAACGGUAGCUACUACCGCAUACCAUCGGAUGUGCCCAGAUGGGAGUAGCUAGUAGGGGGGGUAACGGCUAACCUAGGCGACGAUCCCUAGCUGGUCUGAGAGGAUGACCAGCCACACUGGAACUGAGAAACGGUCCAGACUCCUACGGGAGGCAGCAGUGGUGAAUAUUGCACAAGGGGCGCAAGCCUGAUGCAGCCAUGCCGCGGGUAUGAAGAAGGCCUUCGGGUUGUAAAGUACUUUCAGCGAGGAGGCGUUACUCGCAGAAGAAGCACCGGCUAACUCCGUGCCAGCAGCCGCGGUAAUAC
rnacentral:rRNA from 1 species